rnacentral:lncRNA from 1 species
AUACCUGCACUGAAGCAACAGUCAUCUUUAAGCCAAAUAGGCGGAGAGAAAUGACUUCUUCAAAGUAUUCAGACAGGGUCUCACUCCGUCACCCAGGCUGGAGUACAGUGGCACAAUCUCGGUUCUCUGCAACCUCCAUCGCCCAGGCUCAAGUGAUCCCCCCACCUCAACCUCCCAAGUAGCUGGGAUUACAAGCCUGCACCUCUAUGCCCAGCUAAUUUUUGUGUUUUUAGUAGAGACAAGGUUUUGCCAUGUUGGCCAGGCUGGUCUCGAACUCCUGACCUCAGGUGAUCCAAAAGCCUUGGCCUCCCCAAGUGCUGGGAUUACAGGCUUGAGCCACCACACCUGGCCAAUUAUUUUAUUAAGCCAGAUGAAUCUAGCUCUGGACAGUUAUAAGCAAAGAAAAACUAACGGAAAAAUACAGAGGCCUGAAGAAUCACAGAGGGAAACUCAUUUGUUCCUCUGGCAGCUCUCCCCAAGGACACCUGUGAGACAAAGUCAGAAGUGGCUUCCCUGGUGACCCAGAGAGACCACAGGGCUCUUGCCGCUGCUUCCUCUACUCCCGUAUUUUGCCGAGCUCUCUAAAUUGUCUCAGCUCUAGUCACAGAGAAAAAAGCCAUGUGAGGACACAGUGAGAAGCUGCUAUCUGCAAGCUGAGAAGAGAAACAUCACUAGAAACCAUCCCUGCUGGCACUUGAUCUUGACUUUCAGCUUUCAGAACUUUGAGAAAAUAAAUGUGUGUCGCUUAAGCCAGUUCAUCUUUAGUUAUUUUGUUAUGUCAGCCUGAGCAGAAUUAGACAAAUACUAAUAGUAAACUAUAAGGUAAACUGUAGGCUUUGGGUAAUGACGUGUCAAUAGAUUUAUCAAUUGUAACAAAUGUAUCACUGUGAUGUGGGACAUUGAUAGAGCAGGAUGUUGUGCAUGUGUGGGCUGUGUGGGAGCAAAUCAUAUAUGGGAAUUCUCUUAACAUUCUAUUGAAUUUUUCUAAGAACUUACAACUGAUCUAAAAAUAAAGUCUGUUUUUUUAAAAAAUA